rnacentral:rRNA from 1 species
UGGCUCAGAUUGAACGCUGGCGGCAGGCCUAACACAUGCAAGUCGAACGGUAACAGGAAGCAGCUUGCUGCUUCGCUGACGAGUGGCGGACGGGUGAGUAAUGUCUGGGAAACUGCCUGAUGGAGGGGGAUAACUACUGGAAACGGUGGCUAAUACCGCAUAACGUCGCAAGACCAAAGAGGGGGACCUUCGGGCCUCUUGCCAUCAGAUGUGCCCAGAUGGGAUUAGCUUGUUGGUGAGGUAACGGCUCACCAAGGCGACGAUCCCUAGCUGGUCUGAGAGGAUGACCAGCCACACUGGAACUGAGACACGGUCCAGACUCCUACGGGAGGCAGCAGUGGGGAAUAUUGCACAAUGGGCGCAAGCCUGAUGCAGCCAUGCCGCGUGUAUGAAGAAGGCCUUCGGGUUGUAAAGUACUUUCAGCGGGGAGGAAGGUGUUGUGGUUAAUAACCGCAGCAAUUGACGUUACCCGCAGAAGAAGCACCGGCUAACUCCGUGCCAGCAGCCGCGGUAAUACGGAGGGUGCAAGCGUUAAUCGGAAUUACUGGGCGUAAAGCGCACGCAGGCGGUCUGUCAAGUCGGAUGUGAAAUCCCCGGGCUCAACCUGGGAACUGCAUUCGAAACUGGCAGGCUUGAGUCUUGUAGAGGGGGGUAGAAUUCCAGGUGUAGCGGUGAAAUGCGUAGAGAUCUGGAGGAAUACCGGUGGCGAAGGCGGCCCCCUGGACAAAGACUGACGCUCAGGUGCGAAAGCGUGGGGAGCAAACAGGAUUAGAUACCCUGGUAGUCCACGCCGUAAACGAUGUCUACUUGGAGGUUGUGCCCUUGAGGCGUGGCUUCCGGAGCUAACGCGUUAAGUAGACCGCCUGGGGAGUACGGCCGCAAGGUUAAAACUCAAAUGAAUUGACGGGGGCCCGCACAAGCGGUGGAGCAUGUGGUUUAAUUCGAUGCAACGCGAAGAACCUUACCUGGUCUUGACAUCCACAGAAGAAUCCAGAGAUGGAUUUGUGCCUUCGGGAACUGUGAGACAGGUGCUGCAUGGCUGUCGUCAGCUCGUGUUGUGAAAUGUUGGGUUAAGUCCCGCAACGAGCGCAACCCUUAUCCUUUGUUGCCAGCGGUUAGGCCGGGAACUCAAAGGAGACUGCCAGUGAUAAACUGGAGGAAGGUGGGGAUGACGUCAAGUCAUCAUGGCCCUUACGACCAGGGCUACACACGUGCUACAAUGGCGCAUACAAAGAGAAGCGACCUCGCGAGAGCAAGCGGACCUCAUAAAGUGCGUCGUAGUCCGGAUUGGAGUCUGCAACUCGACUCCAUGAAGUCGGAAUCGCUAGUAAUCGUGGAUCAGAAUGCCACGGUGAAUACGUUCCCGGGCCUUGUACACACCGCCCGUCACACCAUGGGAGUGGGUUGCAAAAGAAGUAGGUAGCUUAACCUUCGGGAGGGCGCUUACCACUUUGUGAUUCAUGACUGGGGUGAAGUCGUAACAAGGUAACCGUAGGGGAACCUGCGGUUGGAUCACCUCCUUACCUUAAAGAA